UUGUGUCGAGAGAGUCCUCAUUUCCUCUAGAUGCCUCCUCCCCUGACCCUCCACUCCUGUAGGAUAUUGGUUAGCACCUUCUGAAGGGACAGGUAAUCCCGGAGAGGGCAAGGGUUGUGGUUUUUCUUUUCUUUCUGAUUUUUUGUUUUGUUUUGUUUUGUUUUUUUGGAUAGGGCCUUAUGUAGCCUAGGCUGACCUCAAACUCAGUAUGUAGAGCUUUAGAUGGUCCAAGUGCUGACAUUCAGGUCUGUGCCACCAUACGCAACUACUGUCAUAUUUUGUGCUUAGCAGCCUUUUGUAUGGAGGUAUGUUUAUUCAUGUACUUUGCUCAUGUCAAAACUGACACCUAACUCUUUUACGUAAAAGUUAGGCUGGAAUUGGCAUUUUCGUGAACAUAUUGCCUAGAGAGAAAUGUUGAGAAUGAUAGACAGGCACGGUGAGGCCAGAGGAGGCUGAAGAGGGAGUCCUAGGGGAGGCCCAAGGAUCGGUGAGAUGGCAGAGAUCUGAAGGAGUACGGGAUCCUUUCAGAGUUUGGAGUAGUAAAGUGGAAACUUCAGGAUCGGCAGUGUGGAGACCCCAGGAUCGGCAGUGUGGAGACCCCAAGAUCAGCAGUGUGGAGACCCCAGGAUCAGCAGUGUGGAGACCCCAGGACCGGCAGUGUGGAGACCCCAAGAUCGGCAGUGUGGGGACCCCAGGAUCGGCAGUGUGGAGACCCCAGGAUCGGCAGUGUGGAGACCCCAGGAUCGGCAGUGUGGAGACCCCAGGAUCGGCAGUGUGGAGACCCCAGGAUUGGCAGUGUGGAGACCCCAGGGAUUGGCAGUGUGGAGACCCCAGGAUCGGCAGUGUGGAGACCCCAGGAGACCUCAGAAUAGGCAGUUUAGAGACUACUGGGACCGAGAAGUCACUAACACAUAUUCAUGCUAAACAGGGCCUAGAAUAAGAGAUCUUAUGGAAUCGUGAGAGGGGCCAAGGAAGGCUGGGACCUCUGCCUGCGCGUGUGGUGAGCCUGAAGACCACUGUAGGUCAGGGGAGGAGAGACGCUGAGUGUGAAGUGGAGAAAACCAAGAACAGCUGUGACCUGUGCCUCACCACCUCCAACUCUGGUAAGGCGAAUUGUCUAUGGAAGGACCCAGCCCCCUCGGCCGGGGAACUGAGCGCACAGGUGGUCCAGGAGCUAGAGAGGAUGGAGAUCCAACUGGGCCCGGGAGAGAUACAAGUCUGGCUGCUGCCUGUGCUUCAUGCAGCCAAGGUCAGCCCGUAGUCAGUGACAAUGUGAGCACAGCAACGCCUGUGCCACUGACUCACCGAGCACUGUGGUCGCCAAUUCCAUCCCGCAUCCCACUUCUCAGUGCUUCUAACAUUUCUCUUGUGGCCAGCCAUAGCCCAGAACUGUAAGAGGAGGAAUCUCCAGAAAAUACGGUCUUAUCUUCACUGGGACAGUACAGAGCUAACAAGUGGGCUCCAAAUGUUCCCAGUGUUAAAGGACCCGUGCCCAUUAAGAGAGCACUCCCUGGAUGACUGUAAUCUGCAGUUCCCACCUCAGGAAGCUUGAGUGCUCUCCUUGUCAGAGAUGCCAGGCCUCCAUCCCAGACUUGGGCCCAUGUACAUCUAUGUGAGCGUCUUAAUUAGGGUUUCUGUUGCUGUGAUAAAACACCACAGCCAAAAUCAACUUGUUUAUCAUUGAGGGAAGUCAAAGCAGGCACUCAAAGCAGGAACCUGGAGGCAGGACCUGAAGCAGAGACCAUGCUUACUGACCAGCAUUUCAUGGCGUCCUCAUCUUGAUUUCUUAUACAAUCUAGGACCAUGCGCCCUAGGAUGGCAUGGCUCCCAGAGAGUUGGGCCCUCCCACAUCAGUCAUUAAUCAAGAUAAUACCCCUACAGGCCAAUCUUAUGGAGGCAGUUUUUUCCCUCAAAUAAGAUUCCCUCUUCCCAUAUAUACCUGGGCUUGUAUCAAUGUAACAAGAACCAACCAAACAGUGAGUCUUACAAAUUUAGUACCCAGAGUCCCUUAAGGCUUUAACUGCACUCAGCAUUGGACAGUUCUGAUACUAAGUCUACACUCUGGAUGAGCUUAGAUCUGCCGAUGCCUCCUGGGUACCUGCAAAGCUCUGAAAGACCAUUCUCAAUGCUGAAAUUAUGCUAAUGACCCCAGCACUGGACAGAACCUGCAGGGUUUCCAGAACAUUCCAGGGUACAGAGACCAAAUAAGCUGCAUUUACCCAGGGUCAGGAGCUUCCACACCGAGGUCGAGAUGCUCCUAUGAAGCAGGAAGGUCUGUGGUGACAAAUUCUGUUCAAGAGGAGCAGGUGAGCUGAGGCCUUAAAGAAAUGGUCACAGGGGCCUUGAGGGCCGGUUGCAUAACCUGGAGCUUAAAGUUCUGCCUGGCUCUCUGAGGAGCCUUGGUUUACCCAUCACUUCAUUUACACAGUUUGAACGGAAGCAGGAAGGACCAUGUCCCUAUUGUCUGGGCUUUGGGUGCCCUCUUGUGGCGCAAUAUUGAUUUUGGGUUUCUGCAGCAUCUCGUGCCCUCUCAAGUGCCUUCAAGGUCACUGCUAUUAAAACAAAAGGGUGCCGGGCGGUGGUGGCACACGC